rnacentral:rRNA from 1 species
GUCCAGACUCCUACGGGAGGCAGCAGUGAGGAAUAUUGGUCAAUGGGCUUACGCCUGAACCAGCCAAGUCGCGUAAGGGAAGACGGCCCUACGGGUUGUAAACCUCUUUUGUCGGGGAGCAAAGCGAGUCACGUGUGACUCAUUGAGAGUACCCGAAGAAAAAGCAUCGGCUAACUCCGUGCCAGCAGCCGCGGUAAUACGGAGGAUCCGAGCGUUAUCCGGAUUUAUUGGGUUUAAAGGGAGCGUAGGUGGAUUGUUAAGUCAGUUGUGAAAGUUUGCGGCUCAACCGUAAAAUUGCAGUUGAAACUGGCAGUCUUGAGCACAGUAGAGGUGGGCGGAAUUCGUGGUGUAGCGGUGAAAUGCUUAGAUAUCACGAAGAACUCCGAUUGCGAAGGCAGCUCACUGGACUGCAACUGACACUGAGGCUCGAAAGUGUGGGUAUCAAACAGGAUUAGAUACCCCAGUACG